CUUGACGAUUUCGUCAAUUGUUUAACAAAACCACAGGUGUGUUUGUCUUAUAUGUGGUUUCGUUGGCUACUUUUGGAAAAACCUAAUCGGCUGUUUUAGGCUAAGUACUUACAAAUUAGAAAGCGCUUUCAUAUUUGCUUCAAAAAAAAAUUGGUUGGCCACUUCUCCCAUGCGAAAUCGCUAGCAUAAAGUCAGAUUAGGUUUAGGCUAAGUAAUUACAAAAUUGACUAUUUUUGUAAAUUCCUUAAAUAAAAACAAUUUUUCAGAUUAAUAGCUCUAAAAGCAGUACCUUUUUUGUAAAUAAAUGAGCAAUACACUCGGUCUAAAUAAAUAAAUAAAAUAAAGACAAAAUUGCAAAAAUGGUCCCUGUGAUAUGUAUUAUUUUGGGGUUUUAGUCCAAAUCUCGAUUUUAUUGGGUUGUUUGUCCUUUUGAGCUAAUUUCCUUGUAUUUUUGGUCUCUGUCCAAACUAAAAAGACUAUUAUACGCUUAGUGAAUUUAAUUUUCAUUUUUCUUUCACUUUUAAAAACUAUUAUUAUCAUUAAAUAUAAAAUUGGGCCCACAUGUCCUCUCUCUCUCAUGAAACAAAUGUCUAGAUUGAAAUAUCAAUUCAGAACCUCCACAUAUUUGACUGGCAUAAAUUGUGGCAUAUACCAAUACCUCAUUGUUGCCAUUGCUUUGUGAAGAUAACAAAGAAAAAAUAAAAGAAAAAAAGAAAUCUAGGGUUCAUGUCUUUAUUCAAACCAUUGUCGAUGAACAAACAAACGAUGGAGGCGAAUAGUAGCUGAAACAAAACUCCAAAGCAUCAUGGAUUUCGGUGAGUUUUCUUAAGCCAUCUGAUUUGCUAGAUCGAAAUGGGUACCGCCUCUUCCUGCUUCUUCUUCACGCAUCUUUUUCUCUUUGUCUGGGUUUUUUGAAGCUAUCUGAUUUUCUGGAUCGAAAUUGGGUUCCGAUUUGCUGGUUCUUUUUCUCUAUUUACUGUUUCUGGGGAUCUGGUGUUGGGUUUCAUUUUCUGAUUUGCUGAAACGCAAACCCUCUCACUUUUCUCGUUGAUUCAAGUUGCAGAUACCAAAAAAUUAAAGUAUAUGGUUUGUCUAUCAUCCCUUUGUGUGCGUCUCUAUGUAUUUGGUGUUCUCCUUCUAUUUGUUUCUUUUAUUUUUAGCGCAUAUAAGGUUUGGUGAUGAUGGUUGUGUAUCAAGUGGUUAUAAGGUGGUUUUAUGGUGAUGAAUUGAAGUUGUAAUCAGAUAAUCAAGGAAGGAGAUGGAACGGUGACGAAGGGGGUGGCAUUGAUUUUUGUGAGCUCAUUAUUGAUUUUCUAUAUGAGCUUGAGUUGCAGGUAAAGUUGUAACAAGAUGGAGAUGGUGAUGAGUUUUUUUGUUGACCGAUGUGUUUUGUGUUUAUGAGAGAGAGAGAGAGAGAGGCGUGGGCCCCAUAAUUUUUAUUAAUAAAACUUUAAAUUAAAUAGCAAAAAAACAUAAAAAAAGAAUAUAUCAAAAAGGCAUUUUAGUCUUUUCAGUUUUCUGAGGGACCAAAAACGCAACAAAACUAGUUUAAAAGGAUCAUCAAUCCAAAAAAGUUAUGGUUUGGACUAAAAUCCCAAAAAAUACAUACUACAUGAACCAUUUUUGCAAUUUUGUCUAACAAAAAUAAAUAAAUAAAAACAUAAGUAAUAAUAUUUGUUGCAACAAAACUAUCCGAUUGUAAGAAAUUUACUUAUAUACUUGUAGUUAUUUUCUUUUAUUUAUCUAUCUUUAAGAAAAUCUACGUACACACUCGAUAACCAUAACCGAAUGAAGUUUAAAACAACAUAAAAUAUUCAGAACUAUCCUUUAUAACAUGUAAUAAUUUUAACUGUGUUUAUAACAUGUAAUAAUUCUAACUAUUAGUAUCACAGAGUCAUUUCUAAGACCAUCUUCAACCCAUCUUCAUUUUUUCCUCCAUAAAUAGAGUAAAGAAUGGACUAAAUAGUGUUUCAUCUCCAACCCUACUUCAUUUUUUACCCCAAAAAAUAUAUUCCUAAAAUAUUCCAUUUUAUAACUUAUAUAUAUUAUGAAAUACACCCCUCUAUUGAUUAACCUCUAUAUUUAUGAUUAAUUAAUAUAAAUUAAAUAAUUAAUAUAUAACUUGAUAUUAUAAAUAUUAAAUAUUACAUUUAAAUUAUAAUUAAUAGUCAAAAUAAACUAAAAAUGUAUUAAAUAAAAAUAAAAAACUAAAAUUAACUACCAAACUUCAUCUUCAUUUUUGGAGAUAUGAAUAGUAUUCCCAAAAAUGAAGGUGAAAAUGGGGUAAAGUUAAAGAAGAAUAGAAGGAGAAAUGGGGAAAGAAAAGAAGAAUAGGAGGAGAAAUGGGGAAAGAAAUAGAGUUGGCGGGUGGGUUGGAGAUGACUAAGGCGUUUUAAAUUUCAAGAAUUUGAUGGACUCAUAGGAGUGAUUCACUUGUUGCUACUACUUACCAUUAUUACAUUAACCCCUUAGAAAAAGCUACAAGAACACAUUUGAGAAAAAAAAUAUCAAAUGAGUUCUUGUAUGAACGCCAAAUAUCAUCAUCACAAACAAACACACAAACAAUCAAAAGUGGAGAAAACAACAGCAAAUUUCACCAUUACAGGACGAUAGUUUUUCCCCUUUCUUCCGAAUCAAAUAUACACAAAUUGAGACGAUUGUUUAAUGCCUUACCAAGCUUCUUAACAAACACAUUAACCAUAAAAAAAGAAAAAGAUGAAA